rnacentral:rRNA from 1 species
GACGAACGCUGGCGGCGUGCUUAACACAUGCAAGUCGAACGGAAAGGCCCUGCUUUUGUGGGGUGCUCGAGUGGCGAACGGGUGAGUAACACGUGAGUAACCUGCCCUUGACUUUGGGAUAACUUCAGGAAACUGGGGCUAAUACCGGAUAGGAGCUCCUGCUGCAUGGUGGGGGUUGGAAAGUUUCGGCGGUUGGGGAUGGACUCGCGGCUUAUCAGCUUGUUGGUGGGGUAGUGGCUUACCAAGGCUUUGACGGGUAGCCGGCCUGAGAGGGUGACCGGCACGAUGGGGGUGGAGCGCCGGCCGGACGCCCGCCGGGGGCAGGAGGGGGGGAUGUUGGACGAAGGGGGGGAAGCCGAACGCAGCACGCCCGUGUGGGGAAGGCGGGCUGUCGGUUUGAAAACCAGUUCGGCCGGUGACGAACGGGGAGGGAGGGUAAGGGGUAAGAAGACCCGGCCAAACUCCGUG